CAGUCGCCGCGGUAAUACGGAGGGUGCAAGCGUUGUCCGGAUUUAUUGGGUUUAAAGGGUGCGUAGGCGGCUAUUUAAGUCAGCGGUGGAAGACUCCGGCUCAACCGGAGCAGCGCCAUUGAUACUGGAUAGCUUGAGUGUUGGAGGGGUACAUGGAAUUGAUGGUGUAGCGGUGAAAUGCAUAGAUACCAUCAGGAACACCGAUAGCGAAGGCAUUGUACUGGCCAACAACUGACGCUGAGGCACGAAAGCAUGGGGAGCGAACAGGAUUAGAUACCCGAGUAGUCCCUGUCUCUUAUAC
rnacentral:rRNA from 1 species